rnacentral:lncRNA from 1 species
AAAGGAUUAGAUCCAUGUCAACUUGGCCUUCUUUGUCUUUUUCUUUUUUACUUGUGGUAGGUGGGUGAGGUAGGUCUUGUUUUACCUUGUUUAUCAUUAAGAUUUGCUUUUGUGGACAAUGAAGAGCUAUGUGCCCAAAACCUAAACAUUUAAAACAUUUGAUAUUUGAAGGUUGGGUAGGUGACUUAGGAUUAGAAGGAUUUGUAGUAGAAACUUUCUUUGGAAAC